rnacentral:RNase_P_RNA from 14 species
GGAGGGAAGCUCAUCAGUGAGGCCACGAGCUGAGUGCUUUGUGUCACUCUACCCCAUGUCGCCUGCGAAGGUCUGAGACUAGAGCCAAAAGUGGCUCUAACAGGGUCCUCCCUGAGUUUCAAGGAGGUGAGUUUUCAGAGAAUGCGGCUCUUCGCUCAUGAGGGCAGACUGGGGAGGAGACGCAGUGGACCCCGCCUCAGGGACGGGCCUGGCAGAUGGCCCCUUAGCCCAAGCUUGGAACAGAUUCACCCAGCCAGUGACGUGAGUUCAAUGACUGCAGUGAGGUACCCUGCCCGGGGGCCUCAUAACCCAAUUCAGACUACUCUCCCCUAUCCUCC